rnacentral:RNase_P_RNA from 1 species
GCAGGUCAAACGACCGCGGGCACAAAGCGAAAGCUUGUGAAUGAGGAAAGUCCGGGCUCCACAGGGCAAGGAUAACGGGUAACACCCGCCAGGGGCAACCCUCGGACAAGUGCAACAGAGAUAUACCGCAGCCUCCGCUUGUCGGGGUGCUGUAAGGGUGGAAAGGCGAGGUAAGAGCUCACCCGUCCCAUGGAGACAUGGCGACGCUGUAAACUCUAUCCGGAGCAACACCGUGGAGGGACACGCAGGCCGGCCCGGUCGUCCCGAGGAGGUGGCUUGAGCCCAGGGGCAACCCUGGGUCUAGAUAGAUGGUCGUUCUCGACAGAACCCGGCUUAUCGAUCUGCUCA